rfam:Gossypium arboreum cultivar AKA8401 contig_12125_3, whole genome shotgun sequence.
CAUUAAAAAUUUCAUUCAUUUUUAAUAUUAAAAACUGGUAUGACUGGCGGAAUAAUCAAACAGUGACAUGUGACAUAUUACAUGUAUCUCAGGCUGACGUAUAGAAACCAUUUUUUAACAGCAAAAGUGGAUGAAUUUUUUAACA